CAGCAGCCGCGGGAACACGAAGGUGGCUAGCGUUGUUCGGAAUUACUGGGCGUAAAGCGCACGUAGGCGGAUAUUUAAGUCAGGGGUGAAAUCCCAGAGCUCAACUCUGGAACUGCCUUUGAUACUGGGUAUCUUGAGUAUGGAAGAGGUGAGUGGAAUUCCGAGUGUAGAGGUGAAAUUCGUAGAUAUUCGGAGGAACACCAGUGGCGAAGGCGGCUCACUGGUCCAUUACUGACGCUGAGGUGCGAAAGCGUGGGGAGCAAACAGGAUUAGAUACCCGGGUAGUCCCUGUCUCUUAUAC
rnacentral:rRNA from 1 species